CACAGCUGUUCUUAACACAUUGUUCCAAACAGUUCUCUUUGGCAUUUAACCAUGAAUUUUGACUUUUUUUCCCCAGUGCUAACAUUCAAGACUCCACUGGGUUGAGAGCUCCUACUUUUUUUUUUUUUUCAGUCACGAAACGUAACUGUAAGCCGGACCAGUUGUGAGGAUGGGAGGUGAUAAAAGGAUUAUAGGGUGGGGCAGGGCAUUUUCACUUCUUUUGUGAUUCUUCAGUUACUUCAGGCCAUCUGGGCGGUAUAUGUGCAAGUCACAGGGGAUGCAGUGGCUUGGCUUGGGCUCAGAGGCCCUGACAUAAGGUAAAAGAAUUGCUUCAGUUUUUGUGGCCUCUGGUCUAUGUUUGGGCUUAUUGUUUUAGGUUCUUUCCUCAUUCAUUCAUUCAUUCAUUCAUUCGUUUCAACAAAUUUUUCUGGAAGGCUUACUUUGUGUCAAGUAUUGUCUAGGCCCUGGGAAUAGCAUAGAGAUAAUUCAGACAGUGCUCCAUGUCCCUAUCUUAUAUUUCAGUAGACUGUCUCUCUUAGGCCUAGAUGGUACAAUGAGAUUACCUUGGGCUUGCCUACCUCUUGGGAGGGGUUCCUUUUUCCUAAGGAGGCCAACUGGGAAGCAGAAUGGGUCUUUAAAAAACUAGGUAUCAUCCAUAUUAAUGCUUCCACAGUCUACCUAGUUAAAGAGCUUAUAGCUUAAAAGCUGUCUGUCCCAGCCUACCUUUGCUUUGUGAAGCAAAUAUGAAGCAACUGCCAUGUGCAUGGCAGUCAGUAUUGAACUUGAUUGACAUGAAGUCAUCAAGACCAUGUGUCAUGAAGACUAUGCGUACCUCCAGCCUCAUCUCUGAUAACAUCUCCCCUGGGAGCCCAAAGUUCUCUGGAUUCCCAGGAGGAGGCUGAUUGAUAAGUCCUCUUCUCGAGUCCCACCAUCGCCCUCUUUCUAAGUCAUUUUAAAAGCAAAACUAG
rnacentral:lncRNA from 10 species